GACGAACGCUGGCGGCGUGCUUAACACAUGCAAGUCGAACGGAAAGGCCCUGCUUUUGUGGGGUGCUCGAGUGGCGAACGGGUGAGUAACACGUGAGUAACCUGCCCUUGACUUUGGGAUAACUUCAGGAAACUGGGGCUAAUACCGGAUAGGAGCUCCUGCUGCAUGGGGGGGGUUGGAAAGUUUCGGCGGUUGGGGAUGGACUCGCGGCUUAUCAGCCGGUUGGUGGGGUAGUGGCUUACCAGGGCUUUGACGGGUAGCCGGCCUGAGAGGGUGACCGGCCACAGUGGGACUGAGAUACGGCCCAGACGCCUACGGGAGGCAGCAGUGGGGACUAUUGCACAAUGGGCGGAAGCCUGAUGCAGCAACGCCGCGUGCGGGAUGACGGCCUUCGGGUUGUAAACCGCUUUCGCCUGUGACGAAGCGUGAGUGACGGUACUGGGUAAAGAAGCACCGGCUAACUACGU
rnacentral:rRNA from 1 species